GACGAACGCUGGCGGCGUGCUUAACACAUGCAAGUCGAACGGAAAGGCCCUGCUUUCAGGGUGCUCGAGUGGCGAACGGGCGAGUAACACGCGGGUGAUCUGCCCCUUUCUUUGGGAUAAGCCUGGGAAACUGGGUCUAAUACUGGAUAGGACCAUGCUUUAGGCGGUGUGGUGGAAAGAGUAGUUCCGGUAGGGGAUGAGCUCGCGGCCUAUCAGCUUGUUGGUGGGGUACUGGCCGACCAAGGCGUCGACGGGUGGCCGGCCUGAGAGGGUGUGCGGCCACGUUGAGACUCCUACGCGAGCCAGCAGCCUGCAGUCGGCCGCAGUGGGGGAUAGUGCAACAUGGGCGCACGCCUGAUGCGACGACGCCGCGUGGGGGGUGACGGCCUUCGAGUUGUAAACACCAUAUAGCCAUGAAGAAGCGCUUGUGGUGACGGUAGUGGUAGAAGAAGCACCGGCUAACUACGUG
rnacentral:rRNA from 1 species